rnacentral:rRNA from 1 species
CUACGGGGGGCUGCAGUAGGGAAUCUUCGGCAAUGGACGGAAGUCUGACCGAGCAACGCCGCGUGAGUGAAGAAGGUUUUCGGAUCGUAAAGCUCUGUUGUAAGAGAAGAACGAGUGUGAGAGUGGAAAGUUCACACUGUGACGGUAUCUUACCAGAAAGGGACGGCUAACUACGUGCCAGCAGCCGCGGUAAUACGUAGGUCCCGAGCGUUGUCCGGAUUUAUUGGGCGUAAAGCGAGCGCAGGCGGUUAGAUAAGUCUGAAGUUAAAGGCUGUGGCGUAAACAUAGUACGCUUUGGAAACUGUUUAACUUGAGUGCAGAAGGGGAGAGUGGAAUUCCAUGUGUAGCGGUGAAAUGCGUAGAUAUAUGGAGGAACACCGGUGGCGAAAGCGGCUCUCUGGUCUGUAACUGACGCUGAGGCUCGAAAGCGUGGGGAGCAAACAGGAUUAGAUACCCCCGUAGUC